CGCGACCCAGGUUAGGCGGGAGCACCCGCCGAAUUAAGCAUAUCAAUAAGCGGAGGAAAAGAAACUUACCAGGCAUUCCCUAGUAACGGCGAGCGAACCGGGAAGACCAGCUUGAGAAUCGGCGCCCUCCGGCGUCCGAAUUGUAGUCUGGAUGAAGCGUCUCAAGCGGCGGACGCGGGCCCAGUCCCCUGGAAGGGGGCGCCGAGAGGGUCGAGAGCCCCGUCGUGCCCGACCCUGUCGCACCACGAUGCGCUGCUCCUGCGAGUCGGGUUGUUUGGGAAUGCAGCACCAAUCGGGCGGUAAAUUCCGUCCAAAGGCUAAAUACGGGCGAGAGACCGAUAGCGAACAAGUACAGGCGAGGAAAGAUGAAAAGGACUUUGAAAAGAGAGUCAAAGAGUGCUUGAAAUUGUCGGGAGGGAAAGCGGAAUGGGGCCGGCGAUGGCGCCCCGGUCGGAUGUGGAACGGCGGCAAGCCGGUCCGCCGAUCGGCUCGGGGCGCGGACCGACGCGGAUCGCAGCGGCGGCCCAAGCCGGGACUAGAAACGCCCGCGGGAGACGCGUCGCAGCGAUCGUGGACAGCGCAGCGCGCGCCGUCACGGCGUGCCUACGGCAACAGCGCGCUCCUGCGUCGGCCGGCGGGCUCCCCAUAUCGGCCCGUCUUGAACACCGGACCAAGGAGUCUGACAUGGUGGCGAGUCAACGGGCACACGUAAACCCGGUAAGGCGCAAGGAAGCUGACUGGCGGGAUCCCUCCGAGGGUUGCCGCCGACCCGACCUCGUCUUUCGAGAAGGGUCGAGUGAGAGCAUGCUGUCGGACCCGAAAGAUGUGAAACUUAUGCCUGAGCGGGGCGAAGCCAGAAGGAAACUCUGGUGGAGGCCCGCAGCGAUACUGACGUGCAAAUCGUCGUCUGACUUGGGUAUAGGGGCGAAAGACUAAUCGAACCGUCUAGUAGCUGGUUCCCUCCGAAGUUUCCUCAGGAUAGCUGGAGCUCGGGACGAGUUCUAUCGGGUAAAGCCAAUGGAUAGAGGCAUGGGGGCGCAACGCCCUCGACCUACUUCUCAAACUUUAAAUGGUAGGACGGCGCGGAUGCUUGCUGAGCGGCUCCAACGGAAAUCGCGAGCUCCAGUGGGCCAUUUUUGGAUAAGCAGAACUGGCCGAUGCGGGAUGGAACCGGAAGCCGGGUUUACGGUGCCCACUGCGCGCUAACCAGAACCCACAAAGGGUGUUGGUCGAUUAAGACAGCAAGACGGUGGGUCAUGGAAGUCCGAAAUCCGCUUAAGGAUGUGUAACAACCAGUACCUGCCGAAACCUCAAAUGACUAGCCCGAAAAUGGUGCGCUUAAAGCCGCGACUAUACCCGGCCGUCGGGGCAAGAGCCAGGCCCGAUGAGUAGGAGGGCGCGGCGGCCGCGAUGCAAAACCCGCGGCGCGAGCCCGGGGGAGCGGCCGCGGUGCACGAUCUUGGUGUAGUAGCAAAUAUUCAAAAUGAGAACUUUGAAAGGCCGAAGAGGGGAAAGGUUCCAUCGUGAACGGCACUUGCACAUGGGUUACGUCGAUUCUCAAGAGACGGGGAAAGCCCGUCGAAUCGCGCGUCCGCGCGAGGCUUCGAAAGGGAAUCGGGUUAAAAUUCCAGAACCGGACGCGGGCGGCUGACGGCAAACGUUAGGGGUCCGGAGACGUCGGGGGGGCCCUCGGAAGAGUUAUCUUUUUCUGUUUAAAACGGCCCGCCCACCUGGGAAAACGACUCAGUCGAGGUAGGGUCCAGCGGCCGGGAAGAGCACCGGCAAUCGUGCGCGGUGUCCGGUCGCCCCCGGCGGCCCGUGAACAAUCCGGAGGACCCGGAGUGCCUCCGCGCCCAGUGUGACUCAUAACGCAUCAGGUUCUCCAAAGUGAAACAGCCUCUGGCCAAACUGGAAAUGGUAGGCAAGGGGAAGCUUCGGCAAAAACGGCUCCGUAACUCGGGAAAAGGAUUUGGCUCUGAGGGUGGGCCCGGGGGUCCCAGUCCGAACCCGUCGGCUCGGCGGACUGCUCGACUGCUCCAGGGCGAGAGCGGGUCGCCGGUGCGGCCGGGGGACGGACUGGGAACGGCCCCUCGGGGCGCUUCCCGGGCGUCGAACAGUCGACUCAGAAAACUGGUACGGACAGGGGAAUCCGACUGUUUAUUAAAAAAACUUGCGAUGGUCCCUGCGGAUGUCAGCAAUGUGAUUUUCUGCCCAGUGCUCCUGAAUGUCAAAGCUGAAGAAAUUCAACCAAGCGCGGGUAAACGGCGGAGUAAACUAUGAACUCUCUUAAGGUAGCCCAAAUGCUCGUCAUCAUUAGUGACGCGCUGAAUGGAUUAACGAGAUUCCACUGUCCCUGUCUACUAAUCCUCAGCGAAACCACAGCCAAAGGGAACGGGCUUGGCGAAUCAGCGGGAAGAAGACCUUUGUUGAGCUUGACCUAGUCCGACUUUGUGAAAUGAACUUGAGAGGUGUAGGAUAAAGUGGGAGACCGGCACAACGGCGACGGUGAAAUACCACUACUUUUAACGUAUAUUUUCUUAUCCGUGAAUCGGAGGCGGGGCCCUCGCCCUCUUUUUUUGGACCCAAGGCCGCCACGGCGGCCGAUCCGGGCGGAAGACAUUGUCAGGUGGGGGAGUUUGGCUUGGGCGGCACAUUGUUAAAAAGAUAACGCAGGUGUCUAAGAUGAGCUCAACCCGAGACAGAAAUCUCGUGUGUAACAAAAGGGUAAAAGCUCGUUUGAUUCUAUUUCCAGUAACGAAUAACGAACCGUGAAGCGUGGCCUAUCGAUCCUUUAGAUCCUCGGAAUUUGAAGCUAGAGGUGUCAGAAAAGUUACCACAGGGAUAACUGGCUUGUGGCAGCCAAGCGUUCAUAGCGACGUUGCUUUUUGAUGCUUCGAUGUCGGCCUUCCUAUCAUUGGUGAACAGAAUUAACCAAGUUGUUGGAUUUGUUCACUCCACCAAUAGGGACGUGAGCUGGGUUUAGCCCCGUUCGUGAGACAGGUUAGUUUUACCCUACUGAUACCGCGUCGCGGAUGGAAUCUCGAACUAGUACGAGAGGAACCGUUGAUUCGCACAAUUGGUCAUCGCGCCUUGGUUGAAAAGCCCAGGUGGCGCGAAGCCUACCGUGCGCUGGAUUAAUGACUGAACGCCUUAAGUCAGAAUCGGGUCAGAGCGACGCCCGUGUCCGGCGCCCGCGUUGCCGACCCGCAGCUAGGGCCAUCCGGCCCCCAAGGCGUGCCGUUGGCCAAGCCCCGCGGCGGACCGAGCCGCGCGGGCCGCCUUGAAGUACUAUUCCCACCGGGCUCGGCCAAAGAAUCCUUUGCAGACGACUUUAAAUACGCGACGGGUAUUGUAAGUGGCAGAGUGGCCUGCUGCCACGAUCCACUGAGAUCAGCCCUUUGUCGCUCCGUUCGUC
rnacentral:rRNA from 1 species